GAAUAAAUGCGCGUUCAUAAUUCAACGGGCUUGGCGUCGACUAAAGUUAAAAAGACUUGAACUUCAGAUUGAGGCCGUCAAAUUAAUACAGAGAGCUUGGAGAAAGCAUCGAAGAACGAGGAGGAAUGAAUGCGCGUCCAUAAUUCAACGGGCUUGGCGUCGACUAAAGUUAAGAAGACUUGAAUUUCAGAACAAGGCUGUCAAAUUAAUACAGAGAGCUUGGAGAAAGCAUCGAAGAACGAGGAGGG